GUGGCGCUCUGCCCCGCGCGUCUCUGUGCUCCGGAGUCCUCCAACGCCGUGCGGAGCGCUCCACUCCGAAGCCCCGCCCACUCCGAGAAGACCACGCCCACAAACAUUCAGACCACGCCCCCUUUGGCUAAGCCCCGCCCAUUCCCCCUUGAAGCCCCGCCCACUGGCCGCCAUGGCCCCGCCCCUUUUGUGGGCGUGGCCGCUGCUGGCCCUGGCGGUGGGCGGGGCGGUGGGCGGGGCUUGCACCGGAAAGAGGUGGAGCCUAAAAGGAAGCGGAGCUUUGAGUGACGGCGCCGGGAACUACUCGGUGAUGGGGGACUGCAUCUGGGUGCUGCACGGUGAGACCCCGUACUGACCCAUGGGGACCCCAUAGACCCCACAGACCCCAUACAGACCCACAGUGAUCCAUGGGGACCCCACAGACCCCAUACAGACCCAUACGGACCCCACAAAUCCCACAGACCCCAUACAGACUCAUGGGGACCCCAUAGACCCCACAGACCCCAUACUGACCCAUACGGACCCCACAAACCCCACAGACCCCAUACAGACUCAUGGGGACCCCAUAGACCCC
rnacentral:lncRNA from 1 species